CGAACCUCCUGCGGGCGUGUCUCCGGUAGCCACGGUACACCAAGCCGCGCCCCACGAACGAUUCCGCUGGUGGUGCGUUCGUUUGUGGGUCAGGGGUGAAAGGUGAAAGGGUUAAGUUAGGUUAGGUUUUGUUUGUUUAUUUGUUUGUUAAAGGUGAAAGGGUUAAGUUAGGUUAGGUUUGUUUGUUUGUGAAGGGGUGAAAGGGUUAAGUUUUGUUUGUUUGUUUGUUUGUUAAAGGUGAAAGGGUUAAGUUAGGUUAGGUUUUGUUUAUUUAUUUGUUUGUUAAAGGUGAAAGGGUUAAGUUAGGUUAGGUUUUCUUUGUUUAUUUGUUUGUUAAAGGUAAAAGGGUUAAGUUAGGUUAGGUUUUGUUUGUUUAUUUGUUUGUUAAAGGUGAAAGGGUUAGGUUAGGUUAGGUUUUGUUUGUUUAUUUGUUUGUUAAAGGUGAAAGGGUUAAGUUAGGUUAGGUUAGGUUUUGUUUGUUUGUUUGUUUGUUAAAGAUGAAAGGGUUAGGUUAGGUUAGGUUUUGUUUGUUUAUUUGUUUGUUAAAGGUGAAGGGUUUAAGUUAGGUUAGGUUUUGUUUGUUUAUUUGUU